GACGGACCAUCCAAACGUUAUUCGGAAUUACUGGGCUUAAAGGGUGCGUAGGCGGCGCGGAUAGUUCGGUGUGAAAUCCCUCGGCUUAACCGAGGAAUGGCGCUGAAUACUACCGUGCUCGAGGAAGACAGAGGUAAGCGGAACAGCGGGUGGAGCGGUGAAAUGCGUUGAUAUCCGCUGGAACACCGGUGGCGAAAGCGGGUCUCUGGGCCGAUACUGACGCUGAGGAGCGAAAGCAUGGGGGAGCGAACAGG
rnacentral:rRNA from 1 species